GGGCUCGUGGUUUAGUGGUAUAAUACUCCCUUAGCAUGGGAGUGGUCCGGGGUUCGAGUAAGUCACUCUGAAGCUCA